GUGCUCACUUUCGCAGCAUGUAUACUAAAAUUGGAACAAUACAGGGAAGAUUAGCAUGGCCCCUGUGCAAGGAUGACACACAAAUUUGUGAACUGUUGCGUAUUUUC